CCGUGCUACACGGGGAACUAGCGAUGCCCUGUACCUGCAAUCGCUUUAGCAGGGUGGACAGCCUGCCAGGAGGCUCGAUCGGUUACGGUCGGCAAAGAUACUUAAUCAAUGAAGGUUUGGUCUGACGCGGCGAAGACCGGUGAACCGGGUCAGGGCGGAAACGCAGCAGCCAUAAACCAGGAUUUUCGGGUGUUGUCAGAGCGCCGGACUGGAGGUUAAGUUCUUUGUACCACGUGACUGGUCCUGUCAAAGGUAGGGCACGG
rnacentral:SRP_RNA from 1 species